rnacentral:rRNA from 1 species
AUUGAACGCUGGCGGCAUGCUUUACACAUGCAAGUCGGACGAGUGGCAGACGGGUGAGUAAUAUCUUGGAACGUACCGAGUAAUGGGGGAUAACCAAUCGAAAGAUUGGCUAAUACCGCAUAUUAUUCGAGCGGCCCAUAUCUGAUUAGCUAGUUGGUGGGGGAAAGGCCUACCAAGGCGACGAUCCGUAGCUGGUCUGAGAGGAUGAUACGCCAGACUGGGAAUGAGACACGGCCCAGACUCCUAGGGGAGGCAGCAGUGGGUAAGUUUGCACAAUGGGCGCAAGCCUGAUCCAGCCAUGCCGCGUGUCUGAAGAAGGCCUUCGGGUUGUAAAGGACUUUUGUUAGGGAAGCGGUACCUAAAGAAUAAGCACCGGCUAACUACGUGCCAGCAGCCGCGGUAAUAC